rnacentral:rRNA from 1 species
AACACAAUAUUAUCCGCCAGAGAACUACAAGCGAAAAGCUAGAAACUCUAAGGACUUGGCGGUGCUUCAAACCAACCUAGAGGAGCCUGUCCUAUAAUCGAUAUUCCACGCUUAACCUUACCUCCCCUGGCCAACCAGCCUAUAUACCGCCGUCGUCAGCCUACCUUAUGAAAGAGUAAAAGUAAGCAAAACAGUUAACAACUAACACGUCAGGUCAAGGUGUAGCAUAUGGGGAGGACAGAGAUGGGCUACAUUUUUCAAAACGAACAUACGGAUAACACGUUGAAACGCAUGUUUGAAGGCGGAUUUAGUAGUAAGACAGAUAAGAAAAACUGUCUGAAGCCUGCUCUGAAGCGCGC